GAAGAGAGCUUUAAUUUGCCCGCAAUUAAAUGCAUGCACCGCGUAAAUAACAUUAAAGUUCACCCUGUUGACUAUCUCACUGUUUCUCAAUGUGCCUACUUGACCGUACUUGUGUACCCGUUGUACGUCAUAUUCCAUCGCCGAAUACAAGUUCCAAUACUCAAGAACAGAAGUACACAGGACGGUAAAAAAAAUCCCCGGAUGUCAUUCUUGCCCCAGUCAAAACGUCAAGGAUUCAUCAGUUGCAUCCUGUUCACUGUGCCCCAAAUUCGUUCUUGGAAAGCAAGUGAAGUACGACCUUUGCGUUCUUGGUACCGAGAAACACCCUCUGAUUGGCUGACGUUCCAGACGACCUAAGAUACCGUUCGAUGUCCUACUGCUCACCUGGGCUCACACGUUCCGACCCAGGAAAUGCAUCACGACGCAAAGCCACUGAGUAACUAAAGAUGACAGGACAGCCUCAGCCCAGGGCACGUGGCUGUUUCCAUGGCCGCAGAGAGGAGACAUGGGGCACACUCACUGGAGACCUGGAAGCAUCCGGAAGGAUGUAUCCCAGCUGUGUUUGCAGGCUCAGGCAGGUGGCCCCUCCCUACAUGAAAUGUCGCAGUCUGACCACCCUCUUGUCUUUCCCUGCUGCAGUUAGAGUGUGACGGGUUCAAGUCUCUCAGGAGGGACUCACACUUGAACCUUGUAAAUACAAUCAAGGUUCCUGCACUGUGGUAGCACCCCCUGGCUGCCAGUGUUGUAACGAGCAGAAGAAGCAAACGCUGGUGACAGUCAGAGCUGUCGGGGCUGAAUCAAACCCGCGGCAGGCCAUCUGCUGAGCCACUGAGCCAGAGGGCAAGUGAACAGCUAAUUUAGUGGAAUGAAACUGUCCCGCAUGCUACAUUAAACAAAUAUAAAGAACA